rnacentral:lncRNA from 1 species
GGGUCAUAUUUUCCAGAUCAUAUGACAUGUUGGUUAUGUCUCUCUCAUUGCUGCUUUCCGAUGUUUUUAUCUCUUUGGGUAUAUAUAUCAAUUGGUCUCGUGAGUACUUUGAUUAUACUUACUGGUCUUGCGAGUACUUUGAUUUUAUUUGUGGUCAUGUGAUUAUCAGAAGUGUAUGACGUCGUUCUCCCAGGUAGUUUGAGUAAAGGAACUGUUGUGCAGAACUGUGGUUGACGAAUGUUUUAUUUCUGCCACUUCUUUAUCUGCUUGCCUUGAAAAUGCAUUUCAUGCAUUUACUAUAGCUUUAAGAGUAUCAGCAUCACGUGUGGCAGAUGUGUGGAGAGAAACUGUGCAGACCAGUGUCACUGUGUGUAUAAAGGAUUAAGAUCCCCUAGAUCUUGCCUGGAAUGUAUACAUCACCUUAACAGACAUCUGAAGAAAUAUAUACCAUAUGAACUGAUAGAAGAAGUGUUGUUAUUCUUGUAUACUUUGUGAGUGUUUGAUAAUGACAAAGGGACAGAAGUACAACAGAUACAUGAAAGUUUUAUUUGAAUUUAUCUCAUAUUCGCAACAAAAUCAGCAUUUAAACCCAAUUCGGCAGCUGUGACAACUUCAUCGAAAAUUUCCACUACUAUUUUGGUCUUUCGAGUGUUUGACGCGAGUGGAGAUAUUGCCCAUACGAAAAAUAACUCAGUAUUUCCUAGGAUCAUGUCAAAUUAGUUGGACCUGUCGUCUGCCAAAUGAAUAGCAAACUGCGUGGCUUGCAAAAUAGUCGUGUCAUUACCACCUUUAUGAAAACGUUUUAUAACUUCACUAAAUUCAGUUGCCAAGUUGCCAUGACCUAAUAUCUAGGAAAUCUGUAAAUAAUCAGGUUUUGAUAGACCUUCUCGCAGAAGCAUCUUUAAUUAGGUGUUAAUCUGAAUUACGAUAAUAACAUUAAGUAAAGUAUAUACGCAAUUUCUUAUAAUGAUAGGCCUGAAGAAGAACUUUAUUUGUAAUAUAUUGAUUAUAUUCUCGCCACAUGAAUCAGAGGCUGAGGACGAACGCCAUUAGAUUUGUUGCCUUCUUUUAACCAUCGCUGGAUACAAACAUGUGCUGAUGUUAGUGUAUUGUUCGAAUCUUGUAUAAUGUAGAAAUAUCUUACUGACACUGAUUUACAUAUGCUGAAAUUAAACACGAGGGUUUUCUAUGAUAGAAAAAAUGCGUUUUCAUUUCAGGUAAAAAGAAAAGUGCUUAAGAUGGUUCUGUAAACACAAAUUCCACAGAUUUAGGUCUACAUUUAAAAGCAUAUGGUCGAACAAAAUGUCUGUCAGUAACUUACUUUCUUGUGAGCCUUGCAGAUAUUGAGGUUUAACCUCGUCAGCUGUGAAGUACUGUAAAUCUUGUCAAGAGCAAUUAUGUAAAGACUGUGUAGAUUUUCAUAAAUCGUUCAAAGUAACACGAGAUCAUUUAUUGGUUAAUACGGAAGAUCAGAAUUUUCUUAAACUAUGCCUGAAUGUGGAAAACCUUCGAAUAUGUAAAGAACAUUUAAACAAGCAAACUGAGUUCUACUGUUUGACUCAUAAUGCAUUUCUGUGCAGUUUGUGUUUGCUUAAAUCUGAACAACACAGGAACUGUAUCAGUGAAAUUGUUGAAAUUGAAUGUGUUGGUAAAUCAUUAAUUGGCAGUAAAUUUACAGACACUGCUAGAGGAGAAUUUCGAAAUAUGAUUGUAAGUGCUCGUCACAUUGUUAAUGAAAUGAACGAAGCUAAGGACACAACAAAUAAGAGUGUCGAAGCCAUCAAAUCUGAUGUUUUGAAUGUUAAACGAACGGUUA